UACGUAGGGUGCAAGCGUUGUCCGGAAUUACUGGGCGUAAAGGGCGCGUAGGCGGCCUUCUAAGUCGGACGUGAAAGCCCCAGGCUUAACCUGGGAACUGCGUCCGAUACUGGGAGGCUUGGAUUCGGGAGAGGGAUGUGGAAUUCCAGGUGUAGCGGUGAAAUGCGUAGAUAUCUGGAGGAACACCGGUGGCGAAGGCGGGUCUCUGGACAGUUCCUGACGCUGAGGCACGAAGGCCAGGGGAGCAAACGGG
rnacentral:rRNA from 1 species